rnacentral:rRNA from 1 species
CCUACGGGCGGCAGCAGUGGGGAAUAUUGCUCAAUGGUGGAAACCCUGAAGCAGCGAAGCCGCGUGAGUGAAGAAGGAUCUCGGUAUGUUAAGCCUCAUUUGCAGGGAAGCAGCGAGACGGUACCUGACUAGGAAGCCCCGGCUUACUACGUGCGAGCAGGCGCGGUAAGACGGAGGGGGCAAGCGUUAACCGGAUUUACUGGGUGUAUAGGGAGCGUAGACGGUAUGGCAAGUCUGAAGUGAAAGCCCAGGGCUUAACCCUGGGACUGCUGUGGAAACUGUUAGACUAGAGUGCUGGAGAGGUAAGUGGAAUGCCUGGUGUAGCGGUGAAAUGCGUAGAUAUUAGGAGGAACACCAGUGGCGAAGGCGGCUUGCUGGACAGUAACUGACGUUGAGGCUCGAAAGCGUGGGGAGCAAACAGGAUUAGAUACCCUGGUAGUC